UUUUAUGUGAAAGGAUGAAAUCAGAGGGAGCACUAACACUCAUGGACUGUGCACUCAUACAAAUAUAUGCAGAAAAAAAAUAACUGUAGAAGAAUGCAAAAGCUGGAAAUCUAGAAGUUAUUCGGGUUUUGUGUUUAAGAGAAGCAGAUUUCUGUCCUUGUUCAUGAACAGCUUGGAGAUACCAGGUCUUAGCAAGAACUUCUCCCAGAUGCUAAGUAAACUGCUACUGUAAGACAGACCAACUAAAAAGCUAUUCCCGAAAAGGAAAAAAGAGGUGCAGGACCCUAACAACAUCUCUGCAACUCUUAUGUAAUGAAUGCAAAAUUCAAAGAAAAAUGGCAGAAGA